GUCCAUGAACUAUUAUUGCACUAUCGAUGU
rnacentral:antisense_RNA from 1 species